GAUGAACGCUGGCGGCGUGCCUAAUACAUGCAAGUCGAGCGAACAGACGAGGAGCUUGCUCCUCUGACGUUAGCGGCGGACGGGUGAGUAACACGUGGAUAACCUACCUAUAAGACUGGGAUAACUUCGGGAAACCGGAGCUAAUACCGGAUAAUAUAUUGAACCGCAUGGUUCAAUAGUGAAAGACGGUUUUGCUGUCACUUAUAGAUGGAUCCGCGCCGCAUUAGCUAGUUGGUAAGGUAACGGCUUACCAAGGCGACGAUGCGUAGCCGACCUGAGAGGGUGAUCGGCCAAACUUGAACUGAGACACGGUCCAGACUCCUACGGGAGGCAGCAGUAGGGAAUCUUCCGCAAUGGGCGAAAGCCUGACGGAGCAACGCCGCGUGAGUGAUGAAGGUCUUCGGAUCGUAAAACUCUGUUAUUAGGGAAGAACAAAUGUGUAAGUAACUAUGCACGUCUUGACGGUACCUAAUCAGAAAGCCACGGCUAACUACGUG
rnacentral:rRNA from 1 species